CAGGGAGACAACAAAAUGUUUAAUAUUAUUAUUUUGUCACCUUAGGUCGAUCGGUAUCUCACAUUCUUAAUUUAUUAAGGAUUUUAUUUCCUAAGUUUUUUCUAGGUCACACCCAUUAUUUUCCUGGGCCAUUAGCUCAGGUGGUUAGAGCGCACCCCAGAUAAGGGUGAGGUCCCUGGUUCGAGUCCAGGAUGGCCCAUAUCUCUAUGUUGGGGGUAUAGCUCAGUUGGUAGAGCGCCUGCUUUGCAAGCAGGAUGUCAGCGGUUCGAGUCCGCUUACCUCCACUGAUUACCACCUCUUCCAUAAUUUCAUAGAAGGGAAAUUUUGGUGUUGUGAUCAAUUUCUGAACGAAUCUAGCUUCCUAAUGAAAUCAUUAAGAUGCUGGACUCAUUGAAUUAAUUUCAUUGUUUUCAGAGAACCUUGACAACUGCAUAGAUUAUUUUUAAAGACAAUAAGCAUCUUUAAUGAUGCAGAUUUAUUAUUUGUGCAAAUGCAUUAAUAACAAUUCUAUUAAGCUGAUGCUUCAAUUUUGAAGUUAUU
rnacentral:tRNA from 1 species